rnacentral:rRNA from 1 species
UACGUAGGGUGCGAGCGUUAAUCGGAAUUACUGGGCGUAAAGCGUGCGCAGGCGGCGCGUUAAGACAGGUGUGAAAGCCCCCGAGCUUAACUUGGGAAAUUUGCGCUUGUGACUGGCGUGCUGGAGUGUGGCAGAGGGAGGUGGAAUUCCACGUGUAGCAGUGAAAUGCGUAGAGAUGUGGAGGAACACCGAGUGGAGCGAC